AUUGAACGCUGGCGGCAUGCCUUACACAUGCAAGUCGAACGGUAACGGGUCCUUCGGGAUGCCGACGAGUGGCGAACGGGUGAGUAAUAUAUCGUAACGUGCCCAGUAGUGGGGGAUAACUGCUCGAAAGAGCAGCUAAUACCGCAUACGACCUGAGGGUGAAAGGGGGGGAUCGCAAGACCUCUCGCUAUUGGAGCGGCCGAUAUCAGAUUAGCUAGUUGGUGGGGUAAAGGCCUACCAAGGCAACGAUCUGUAGGUGGUCUGAGAGGACGACCAGCCACACUGGGACUGAGACACGGCCCAGACUCCUACGGGAGGCAGCAGUGGGGAAUUUUGGACAAUGGGCGCAAGCCUGAUCCAGCAAUGCCGCGUGCAGGAAGAAGGCCUUCGGGUUGUAAACUGCUUUUGUCAGGGAAGAAAUCUUCUGGGCUAAUACCCCGGGGGGAUGACGGUACCUGAAGAAUAAGCACCGGCUAACUACGUGCCAGCAGCCGCGGUAA
rnacentral:rRNA from 1 species